UUUUUAAGCCUAGCUUCUCUUCUGGGGCUGUCUACUCUCACCUCACCCGCAUGAAAAAGGAUCCGAAACCAAAACCAUACUGGCAUCAGAUCUUGCCUUCUUCAAAAUCUUGAAGCGGAAAAACUACGGAAAUUCCUUCCUUCGUUAGAGCCCAAAUGACCCAAACCCGAAGCCGUACAUAACAAGGUAAAAAGUCAAAGACAUUUCUUUCUGCCUUUGUUUCCUGUUCGCUCUUCUCCUUCCUCUUUUCGGCUGCCGUCCCCUGUGACUCUUAUCCUCUCUCUGGUUGCGAUUCUUUCUCGUGGUGCUUUAGUUCAAGGACUUCUAAGUUAAUUAUCAUUGCCAACCGAUGAAGCAUGUUGUGAAGAUUUUCUCUCUGCUGGUGGCCAUCUCUGGACUUUGGAUCGGCCUAUUGCAGGCAUCCAUAAUAUCACAAAGUCAUACUUGGUUGGUCAGGAUGGGACAGAUAUCCAUCAAAAUAAUUGGUUUUGGGUAAUUAAUGGUUAUAAAUAAUCGGGAUCAAAUAGGUUUUGGUUAGUAGGAUAAGAAAUUUAAACAAUUUUGUUUUAGUUUUGAGUACCCUAUUUUUAAGCAGUUUUGUGUUUCGGUUUUGAAUACCCUAUUUUUAAACAGUUUCAAUUUUAGAUAGUCCAAAUUAAGCGAACAUUUGAACCACUACCAUCCACCAAACAACUUACUCUGCACCAUUGCUGUAACUUUUAUUCAGCUGCCUAUCUAUUCUAUUGUGUCACUUGGAUGCUAUGGUUUAUUAAUGGUUGGAGUUGGUCUAAUGCGAUUCCCAACUUGUCCCCAAGAAGCAUUGCUGCUGCAGCAGGUAUUUCAUUUCUCAUUUUUUAUAACCGAUCAGCUGAGGAGACUUUUAGGUCAUUAUUAUUUUAAGUGUUCAAUUUACUAAAUGGCUAAUUAGUGAUGAAUUCCUUUGCCUUUUCCUUUCCUCUCCUUUUGUUCUCCCUUAUGCUUUUGAGCAGGCUGGUAUUUGCUAAUAUGGUUGGGACUUGAAUUUUUUUUAUCUGCUAAACAGAAAUCUGAGACUGUAUUUCCCCAGUUCAUAACACUUUUUUGAAAAGUUUUAAUAAAUUUGUGGUGAUAAUUAUCAUAAUUUGUGUUACUAAGAGAUUGAAUUUGUUGGUGUGAUUUGUUUUUUGCGGUUCCAUAAUAUGUGUUAUAUUCUAUAGGAUAUUGCCGAGGCCAAGGACUUUCUGAAUCAAAAGGGGGUUGAUGUUGGUUUUGCAUGAUGGUUGCUUUUUAAUUUCUCUUCUUGGUUCCAAGUUUUAGAGCAAAAAUGCUGCAAUCUUUACCAGUGGAUGGCCGUUUUGGUCCAGAGAGAAGAGUUACAGAUUGGGAACUAACUUCAAAGUUUACAUAACUUUUGUAGAAGAAUUUUGUCUUACAAUAUAUUGAGGAAAAUGUUGUAAAAGAAAUGAUUCACCAUUUUUCUUUUUCCGGCUCCCAAAGUUAGGCUACGUCCAAUUUUUUGGUGUUUAUCAUAGCUGUUAAGUAGUUUCCCCCUUAAUUUAGCCUAUUGAAAGGGUGGAACAAAUUAGCUUCAGAGUGAGAAUGCUGUGCGGGUGUAAUUUUUUUUGAUUUCAUCAAAGCAUAUUAAUGGAGUCUUGGACAAAGUUUAUGUA